rnacentral:lncRNA from 1 species
CACAGGUAUAAGCUGUUAGCUAGAGCAAUUUCAGCAGUUGGGAGGUGAGCAUAUCAACCCACAAGGUUGUCUGAGAGGGACAACAACUUCUGCUGUUAGUUUACUUUUGGGUAUAAACGUGAACUUUGAGGAAAGAGUUAAAUUCAAUUAAAAACAAAUUCGUUGAGUGUCUACUAUGUGCAAAACAAUAUGUUGUGGCAAAAGGGGGACGCAAUGUGAAAGAUCUGUUGCCCUCGAGAAGAAACGACCCUGCAUAUCAGCAAGGUAUCUUUUCCUGAAGCCGGUCUUCAUUAACAGGCUUGGUCUUUCUCCCAGUGGAGAAAUCACUUGGGCCACUUCUGCAUCUAGAGUGUCAGACCCAAGCUAGGAAAAAGAAUCAUCUUUAAAAGUAUGUCAUCAGCACUCAAGACCUUUAAUGAGCCAGCGGAAUUGGUCUCCUGGUCCUCUCCUCACUCCACAGAGACUGAAAACGAACCAGACAGAGGACGAGAGUCCGCAUGCUGAACCACUUAAAUUCACAUGGCGGCUAAGAAGACAAGAGUUUCGGCAGGCAUAGAGGCUAAGAGAGUUAAGAGCAUCCUCCGUGCCUAGUACAGUCCCCAGCUGCAUCAUAAACAGAUGAAAUGAAAAAGUUUUUUCUCCCAAUCAAGCCAGCAGGAGAGCAAGGGUCUGUGGUACCUGGGGACAAUGCACCAUGCUUACACCCUCUCUAGCCACAUGUAUGCUACUGCGGAAUUGGCAAAGACAGGAGCCUGAACAAGCCUGGAUUUGCCCACUGGAGGAUGAGAAGACGCUUGAAGCAGAGUCCAGAACACAGAGAAGAGUCCAAUUAAGAUCAGCAAAGCUGCCUAACCAACCCACACCUACCUACCCAUAGAGAAAUGGAUGAGCUCUACCAAGCCCAGUUCACCCCAGUGGAAAUGACUACCCAUCUGCAUAUGCAAAGCUGAAUAAAUGCUUAUCACUUGAAACCAUUGGGUGUGGGGUUUUUAUGCAGCAAUAGCUAACUGCUACAAGCCACCAAGUAGAAGAUGCUUUCCUUCAGAGAACACCUAAUUUCUUUUUACAUACAAACCCGCUUUGCAUUUGAAUUUCUUGCUAAGGCUGAGCAGGCUUUAGGUAUGAAAAAAAAUAAAGAAAAAAAGUCAUAGGAACAGACCUUGCCUUCAAGUAUGCUCAUAUUUUGAUGACACUUAGAAGGUCACUUAGAAACUGCUUUGAGUCAAGAAAUUAUCCCCAGAGGCUAUUAAGAACAUUUUUAGGUUCUAUUUUGCUUCUUAUUGUCUAUGAAGGAAAACUCUGUAAAUUAAAUCUUG